rnacentral:pre_miRNA from 1 species
CUCAUACUCCCUUCGUCCGGAAAUACGUUUCAUCAAAAUGGAUAAAUCUCUUUAGUUCUAGAUACAUCUCUUUUUAUCCAUUUUAAUGGCAAGUAUUUUCGGACGGAGGGAGUAUGUC